rnacentral:rRNA from 1 species
ACGGGAGGCAGCAGUGGGGGAUAUUGCACAAUGGAGGACACUCUGAUGCAGCAACGCAGCGUGAGGGAAGACGGUCUUCGGAUUGUAAACCUAAGUUAACAGGGACGAAUAAAAUGACGGUACCUGAAGAGAAAGCUCCGGCUAACUACGUGCCAGAAGCCGCGGUAAUACGUAGGGAGCGAGCGUGGUCCGGAUUUAAUGGGUGUAAAGGGUGCGUAGGCGGGUUUGCAAGUCAGGCGUGAAAUCCCACGGCUUAACUGUGGGGCUGCGCUUGAAACUGUAGAUCUUGAGUGAAGUAGAGGCAAGCGGAAUUCCUAGUGUAGCGGUGAAAUGCGUAGAUAUUAGGAGGAACACCAGUGGCGAAGGCGGCUUGCUGGGCUUUAACUGACGCUGAGGCACGAAAGUAUGGGGAGCAAACAGGAUUAGAUACCCUGGUU